CGGGAUGUAGCGCAGCCUGGUAGCGCACUACACUGGGGGUGUAGUGGUCGUCGGUUCAAAUCCGGCCAUCCCGACCA
rnacentral:tRNA from 10 species